rnacentral:misc_RNA from 1 species
CCAGCAAGCGCUCCCGCCAGACCGAUGCGCCGCAAGCCACGCCUCCUCGUCCUCGCAAGCCGCACGCCGAGGUUCGGCCUCGGUUUCCCCGAGCCUCCCGCGCUCCGGCUCCGACUUGAAGGAGACGCCGCCCUCUCCGGGGGUGCGAGUGCCACCGGGGUCCUCCCCGACGACGCCCACGUCCUCU